rnacentral:tRNA from 1 species
CGUCAGGAAGCUCAGUGGUCUAGAGCAGUCGCCCGGCAAGCGAAAGAGAGAGAGGAGAGAGUCCCCGGGUUCGAUUCCCGGUCUAGCGA